CUACGGGUUGCACCAGUGGGGAAUCUUGCACAAUGGAGGAAACUCUGAUGCAGCGAUGCCGCGUGAGUGAAGAAGGCCCUUGGGUUGUAAAGCUCUUUUGUCGGGAAAGAUAAUGACUGUACCCGAAGAAUAAGGUCCGGCUAACUUCGUGCCAGCAGCCGCGGUAAUACGAAGGGACCUAGCGUAAUUCGGAAUUACUGGGCGUAAAGCGCGCGUAGGCGGUUAAGUAAGUUAAUUGUGAAAGCCCAAAGCUCAACUUUGGAAUUGCAAUUAAAACUACUUAGCUAGAGUUUAUCAGAGGAAAGCGGAAUACAUAGUGUAGAGGUGAAAUUCGUAGAUAUUAUGUAGAACACCAGUUGCGAAGGCGGCUUUCUGGGAUAACACUGACGCUGAGGUGCGAAAGUAUGGGUAGCGAAGAGGAUUAGAUACCCUAGUAGUC
rnacentral:rRNA from 1 species